rnacentral:rRNA from 1 species
UACGUAGGGGGCGAGCGUUGUCCGGAGUUACUGGGCGUAAAGCGCACGCAGGCGGUUCUGCGCGUUUCCGGUGCCAGCUCGCUGCUCAACGGCGAGAGUGCCGGGAAGACGGUGGGACUUGAGAACCUUAGAGGGACAUAGAAUUCCGGGUGGAGUGGUGAAAUGCGUAGAUAUCCGGAGGAAUACCAAAGGCGAAGGCAGUGUCCUGGGAGGUUUCUGACGCUGAGGUGCGAAAGCCAGGGGAGCGAACGG